AGUAUUAUACACCCACUAUCCGCCCGGGAACUACGAGCACCAGCUUAAAACCCAAAGGACUUGGCGGUGCUUUAGACCCACCUAGAGGAGCCUGUUCUAGAACCGAUAACCCCCGUUCAACCUCACCCUCUCUUGUUUUCCCCGCCUAUAUACCGCCGUCGUCAGCUUACCCUGUGAAGGUUUAAUAGUAAGCAAAUUGGUAACACCCAAAACGUCAGGUCGAGGU
rnacentral:rRNA from 1 species